rnacentral:rRNA from 1 species
GAUGAACGCUGGCGGCGUGCCUAAUACAUGCAAGUCGAGCGAACGGACGAGAAGCUUGCUUUUCUGAUGUUAGCGGCGGACGGGUGAGUAACACGUGGAUAACCUACCUAUAAGACUGGGAUAACUUCGGGAAACCGGAGCUAAUACCGGAUAAUAUUUUGAACCGCAUGGUUCAAAAGUGAAAGACGGUCUUGCUGUCACUUAUAGUUGGAUCCGCUCGUCAUUAGCUAGUUGGUAAGGUAACGGCUUACCAAGGCAACGAUGCAUAGCCGACCGGGGAGGGUGAUCGGCCACACGGGACCUGGGAAACGGUCAAGCCUCCUCCGGGAGGAAGCAGUAGGGAAUCUUGCGAAAUGGCCGAAGGCCUGCCGGAGAAACGCGGCGUGAGUGAUGAAGGUCUUCGGAUCGUAAAACUCUGUUAUUAGGGAAGAACAUAUGUGUAAGUAACUGUGCACAUCUUGACGGUACCUAAUCAGAAAGCCACGGCUAACUACGUG